rnacentral:lncRNA from 1 species
CCCGCUAAGCUCCUUCAGUUUGCUGAUUUUCACCCAUUUGGCCCGCCAUUUGCGAAGAUGAUUGUACACCUGAGUUCCGCUAACCUCCAACCCUGUAAACUCACGCAGAUCACUAGCCACACUAUUCAGAUGUACCUCUUUAAAACCUUUGUCGGUCUUUAGUCCCUCCCCAACCAGCUCAGUGAACCUCCUUAGGACAAAUGCAGACAUUACUUCUGUCCACACUAGUCUUGCAGGCCCCUGCCCACCAUUUCCCUGCCCACCACCUCCCUGUCCACCAUUUCCC